CAACUGCUAGAAAAGGGCCUCAUCCCCCUGAUUGAACUAACCUCGUUAUUCCUAGCCUGAUUCUUGCUUGCAUAUUUAUACCUGUCUCUGGAAGUUUCCACUACAUGCGUCCGACGAAGUGGGUGUUCACCCACAAAAGCUCCUGCUCCAGUAUGUCUGUUAGUCUAUAAGGUGCCACAGGACCCUUUUACAGAUUCAGACUAGCAUGGCUAC